rnacentral:rRNA from 1 species
AUUGAACGCUGGCGGAAGGCCUAACACAUGCAAGUCGAACGAGUGGCGGACGGGUGAGUAAUGUCUGGGAAACUGCCCGAUGGAGGGGGAUAACUACUGGAAACCGUAGCUAAUACCGCAUACCAUCGGAUGUGCCCAGAUGGGAUUAGCUAGUAGGUGGGGUAACGGCUCACCUAGGCGACGAUCCCUAGCUGGUCUGAGAGGAUGACCAGCCACCCUGGAACUGUGACACUGUCCAGACUCCUACGGGAGGCAGCAGUGGGGAAUAUUGCACACUGGGCGCACGCCUGAUGCAGCCAUGCCGCGUGUAUUAUGAUGGCCUUCGGGUUGUAAAGUACUUUCAGCGAGGAGGCGUUACUCGCAGAAGAUGCACCGGCUAACUCCAUGCCAGCAGCCGCGGUAAUUC